rnacentral:rRNA from 1 species
UACGUAGGGUCCGAGCGUUGUCCGGAAUUACUGGGCGUAAAGAGCUCGUAGGUGGUUUGUCGCGUUGUUCGUGAAAACUCACAGCUUAACUGUGGGCGUGCGGGCGAUACGGGCAGACGUGGAGUACUGCAGGGGAGACUGGAAUUCCUGGUGUAGCGGUGGAAUGCGCAGAUAUCAGGAGGAACACCCGGUGGCGAAAGGCGGGCUCU